AGCGAACGCUGGCGGCAGGCUUAACACAUGCAAGUCGAGCGGGCACUUCGGUGUCAGCGGCAGACUGGUGAGUAACACGUGGGAACGUACCCUUUGUUUCGGAAUAACGCUGGGAAACUAGCGCUAAUACCGGAUACGCCCUUUUGGGGAAAGGCUUGCUGCCGAAGGAUCGGCCCGCGUCUGAUUAGCUAGUUGGUGGGGUAAUGGCCUACCAAGGCGACGAUCAGUAGCUGGUCUGAGAGGAUGAUCAGCCACACUGGGACUGAGACACGGCCCAGACUCCUACGGGAGGCAGCAGUGGGGAAUAUUGGACAAUGGGCGCAAGCCUGAUACAGCCAUGCCGCGUGAGUGAUGAAGGCCUUAGGGUUGUAAAGCUCUUUUGUCCGGGACGAUAAUGACGGUACCGGAAGAAUAAGCCCCGGCUAACUUCGUG
rnacentral:rRNA from 1 species